rnacentral:sRNA from 1 species
AAAUAGCAUUUGCGUUAGGGAUUGAAGUGGAAAUCCUUUUUUUGAGGCUUUUCGCCGAUAAAAAAGAUUGCAACGGAAAGCCCGACCCUUG